rnacentral:rRNA from 1 species
AUACCUGCCGGCGACCGGCAAACGGGUGNNNNNNNNGUACGCAACUUUCCCAAAACUGGUGAAUAGCCUUCCGAAAGGGAGAUUAAUACACCGUAAGAUAUAGAGAUGGCAUCAUCAUUAUAUUAUAGCUCCGGCGGUUUUGGAUGGGCGUGCGGCUGAUUAGGUAGUUGGCGGGGUAACGGCCCACCAAGCCUGCGAUCAGUAACUGGUGUGANANCACGACCAGUCACACGGGCACUGANACACGGGCCCGACUCCUACGGGAGGCAGCAGUAAGGAAUAUUGGUCAAUGGACGCAAGUCUGAACCACCCAUGCCGCGUGCAGGAUGAAGGCCCUCUGGGUUGUAAACUGCUUUUAUAGGGGACNAAAAAGGGACUUUCUAGUUCAACUGACGGUACCCUAGGAAUAAACACCGGCUAACUCCGUGCCAGCAGCCGCGGUAAUACGGAGGGUGCAAGCGUUAUCCGGAU